UUUGACCUCAAAUCAGGUAGGACUACCCGCUGAACUUAAGCAUAUCAAUAAGCGGAGGAAAAGAAACUAACAAGGAUUCCCCUAGUAACUGCGAGUGAAGCGGGAAAAGCUCAAAUUUAAAAUCUGGUAGUCCUCUGGCUGCCCGAGUUGUAAUCUAGAGAAGUAUUAUCCGCGCUGGACCGUGUAUAAGUGUCCUGGAAUGGACCAUCAUAGAGGGUGAGAAUCCCGUCUUUGACACGGACUCCCAGGGCUUUGUGAUGUGCUCUCAAAGAGUCGAGUUGUUUGGGAAUGCAGCUCUAAAUGGGUGGUAAAUUCCAUCUAAAGCUAAAUAUUGGCGAGAGACCGAUAGCGAACAAGUACCGUGAGGGAAAGAUGAAAAGAACUUUGGAAAGAGAGUUAAACAGUACGUGAAAUUGCUGAAAGGGAAACGCUUGAAGUCAGUCGCGUUGGCUGGGGAUCAACCUUGCUUUUGCUUGGCUUACUUCCCAGUUGACGGGUCAGCAUCAGUUUUGACCGGUGGAUAAAGG
rnacentral:rRNA from 1 species